CAGUAGCCGCGGGAAUACGAAGGGGGCUAGCGUUGCUCGGAAUUACUGGGCGUAAAGGGAGCGUAGGCGGACAUUUAAGUCAGGGGUGAAAUCCCAGAGCUCAACUCUGGAACUGCCUUUGAUACUGGGUGUCCUGAGUGUGAUAGAGGUAUGUGGAACUCCGAGUGUAGAGGUGAGAUUCGUAGAUAUUCGGAAGAACACCAGUGGCGAAGGCGACAUACUGGAUCAUUACUGACGCUGAGGCUCGAAAGCGUGGGGAGCGAACAGGAUUAGAUACCCGAGUAGUCCCUGUCUCUUAUAC
rnacentral:rRNA from 1 species